GACGAACGCUGGCGGCGUGCCUAAUACAUGCAAGUUGAGCGCUUAAGGUUGGUACUUGUUCCAACUGGAUGAACAGCGAACGUGUGAGUAAAGCGUGGGGAAUCUGCCUUUGAGCGGAGGACAACAUAUUGGAACGAAUGCUAAUACCGCAUAAAAACUUUAAACACAAGGUUUAAGAUUGAAAGAGGCAAUUGCAUCACUCAAAGAUGAUCCCGCUUUGUAUUAGGUAGUUGGUGAGGUAAUCGCUCACCAAGACGAGGAUAGAUAGCCGACCUGAGAGGGGGGUAGGCCACAUUGGGACGGAGACGCGGACCAAAGUCCUACGGGAGGAAGCAGUCGGGAAUCUUAGGCAGCAGACGAAAGUCUGACAGAACAAGGCCGAGCGAGAGACGAAGGUUCUGGGUGCGUAAAAACGUGUUUGUAGAGGAGAACGUCGGUGAGCGGGGAAAGCUCAUCAAGUGACGGUAACUACACAGAAAGCACCGGCUAACUACGUG
rnacentral:rRNA from 1 species